UUUUAAAUUGCUGUAGUAUUUUGACUAUACAAAGGUAUUGAAAUAAGACUUUAAUUGAAUGCUAAGAGAAUGGAAGUCCAGAAAAAAACUUUUUUUAAAUUAAAAAUUGAAGUUUUUUUAAUUUGUGCAGAAACAAUUAUUUAUAUUAAAGACAAGAAGACCCUAUGAAUUUAUUAAAUUUUUAUUUAAUAUGUAAUUACUAUUAGAAAAAUUUUGGCUGGGGCGGCUAGAAAAUAUUAUGAACUUUUUAAAAAUAAAAUGAUCCAUUAUUAAUGAUUUUAUGUUAAAUACUCUAGGGAUAACAGCGUUAUAUUUUUUGAUAGAUCAUAUUGACAAAAAAGUUUGCGACCUCGAUGUUGGAUUAGGAUACUUUUUUAAUGAAGAUAUUAAAAAAAGAAGUUUGUUCAACUUUUAAUUUCC
rnacentral:rRNA from 1 species